GUAGGAUAGAGGCCUACCAUGGUGGUAACGGGUAACGGGGUGUUAGGGCACGACACCGGAGAGGGAGCCUGAGAAACGGCUACCACAUCCAAGGAUGGCAGCAGGCGCGCAAAUUACCCAAUCCCGACACGGGGAGGUAGUGACAAUAAAUAACAAUACGGGGUUCUUUCGGAUUUCGUAAUUGGAAUGAGUACAAUUUAAAUCUCUUAACGAGGAACAAUUGGAGGGCAAGUCUGGUGCCAGCAACCGCGGUAAUUCCAGCUCCAAUAGCGUAUAUUAAAGUUGCUGCAGUUAAAAAGCUCGUAGUUGAAUUUCGGGACCAAUAUGUCGGUCGUGCCUCGGUACGUACUGGCAUCGUUGGUUUCUCCCUUCUGACGAACCAUGAUGUCAUUCAUUUGGUGUCGUGGGGAAUCAGGACUGUUACUUUGAAAAAAUUAGAGUGUUUAAAGCAGGCUCACGCUUGAAUACAUUAGCAUGGAAUAAUGAAAUAGGACGUUUGAUUCUAUUUUGUUGGUUUCUAGGAUCGACGUAAUGAUUAAUAGGGAUAGUUGGGGGCAUUAGUAUUCAAUUGUCAGAGGUGAAAUUCUUGGAUUUAUUGAAGACUAACUACUGCGAAAGCAUUUGCCAAGGAUGUUUUCAUUAAUCAAGAACGAAAGUUAGGGGAUCGAAGACGAUCAGAUACCGUCGUAGUCUUAACCAUAAACUAUGCCGACUAGGGAUCGGAUGAUGUUAAUUUUUUAAUGACUCAUUCGGCGCCUUACGGGAAACCAAAGUGUUUGGGUUCA
rnacentral:rRNA from 1 species